GCCAACGUCGCAUAAUCUGGUAUUGCGCUGGUCUUGAAAACCAGUUCCUUUGGAAUUCUCGGUUCAAAUCCGGGCGUUGGCG
rnacentral:tRNA from 1 species